ensembl:rRNA 5S_rRNA 5S ribosomal RNA
GCUAAUAAAAGAUAAAAAAUAAAAAAAGCUUGAUCUCGUGUGAUCUCAGAAACUAAGCAGGGUCGGGCCUGGUUAGUACUUGGAUGGGAGACCGCCUGGGAAUACCAGGUGCUGUAAGCU